GUGGACAGUCUGCCUAUCUGAGAGCUCCGGGGAGGUGGACAGUCUGCCUAUCUGAGAGCCCCGGGGGAGGUGUACAGUCUGCCUAUCUGAGAGCCCAGUCGGGUGGACAGUCAGCCUAUCUGAGAACCCAGUCGGGUGGACAGUCUGCCUAUCUGAGAACCCAGUCGGGUGGACAGUCUGCCUAUCUGAGAGCCCCGGGGGAGGUGUACAGUCUGCCUAUCUGAGAACCCAGUCGGGUGGACAGUCUGCCUAUCUGAGAACCCAGUCGGGUGGACAGUCUGCCUAUCUGAGAACCCAGUCGGGUGGACAGUCUGCCUAUCUGAGAGCUCCGGGGGAGGUGGACAGUCUGCCUAUCUGAGAGCCCCGGGGGAGGUGGACAGUCUGCCUAUCUGAGAGCCCCAGGGGAGGUGGACAGUCUGCCAAUCUGAGAGCCCCGGGGGAGGUGGACAGUCUGCCUAUCUGAGAGCCC
ensembl:lncRNA